CGCUUCUGUAAGUUUGGUUCUAACGGAAGUUCAAGAUGAACGACAGCGGAGGUGUUCUGCUACUCAGGCCACAGAGUACAAGAACUUGCACAGCAUAAAUAGCCUCAGGCUUGUCGUGAGGACCGACAGUGUUCUGGGCCCCUGUCACUCCAACAUGUGGACAUUAACCAUAAGUUGAUCAGGGUCAGAAUGAACUGUAGUGUCAUACAGUGAUUGACCAUUGCACUCAAGUGGAACACAGCGGGCAAGUAGAAUUUUAAAUUCACUGUGGAUAAACUUGUUUUGUGGAAUUGAGUUUCUGAUCCUUCAAAUGGCCAGAAGCAAGGCAUCUGGGGCUCUGCAGUAACCUUUGUCCAGGUAUUGUGCGGUCUUGUUAGUGACAACUUCUGCCUUACAUUUGUGUUUAUUGAAUUAAAGUCAGGCUAUAUAGUACCUGUCGCUUUAAAUGGGGACAAUACUCCACACUUGUACAUGUUGUGCACUCCUGCCCUGGACAGAAUAGGGAAGACUUAUUGCUGUCAGCCCUGAUGAAGAGUGAAUCAUUCCACUGUCCUCGUGAAGAAUGUUAAGUGUUUCCAGCCUGUCAAUUUCACUUUCUCCCACACCCAGUACCCUCUUUCCUUUUACAGUGCUGAACUACAAGACCUGACCCAGUGCCUAAUAGAGCAGAUGUUUAGAAACAGAACCAGACAGGUUGACUUGCAAUCACUUUAUUGAAGAAAAUU